rnacentral:misc_RNA from 1 species
GAUGAAUAAAGGACUUGUAAGUCCCUGAGCUGCUUGAAAAGCCAUUAUAGAACUUUAUACGAACUGAAUAGAAUUUAACACGUUGCAUAUAAAAAAAAAGACACAUCCUUGAACGAACACCAAGGCCAUGGGAAACUAGCAACAUUGGCUUUCUACACAACAUGCCACCGUUAAGGACCUUGCUCCCGCACUAGAGCAAAGCUCAAUGUCAAGCCAUCUUGCUAGAGCUCGAAACUCAAAAACGUGAGGUGACAAGUGCCUAUAUAUCGUUGUAUUCUAUUGAGCUUGUUGUGUAUGAUUUUAUGAUGGCUCUUGGACAAGAGCGGUGCUGU